CCUACGGGUGGCAGCAGUGGGGAAUAUUGGGCAAUGGGCGCAAGCCUGACCCAGCAACGCCGCGUGAAGGAAGAAGGCUCUCAGGUUGUAAACUUCUUUUAUCAGGGACGAAGCAAGUGACGGUACCUGAUGAAUAAGCCACGGCUAACUACGUGCCAGCAGCCGCGGUAAUACGUAGGUGGCAAGCGUUAUCCGGAUUUAUUGGGUUUAAAGGGUGCGUAGGCGGACUGUUAAGUCAGCGGUAAAAGCCCGGGGCUCAACCCCGGCGAGCCGUUGAAACUGGCUGUCUUGAGAUGUCGAGAGGUAUGCGGAAUGCGCAGUGUAGCGGUGAAAUGCUUAGAUAUUGCGCAGAACUCCGAUUGCGAAGGCAGCAUACCGGCGGCGAUCUGACGCUGAGGCACGAAAGCGUGGGUAUCGAACAGGAUUAGAUACCCGGGUAGUC
rnacentral:rRNA from 1 species